rnacentral:rRNA from 1 species
CUACGGGCGGCUCCAGUGAGGAAUAUUGCACAAUGGGGGGAACCCUGAUGCAGCAACGCCGCGUGGAGGAUGACGCAUUUCGGUGUGUAAACUCCUUUUAUAUGUCAAGAAAAUGACGGUAGCAUAUGAAUAAGCACCGGCUAACUCCGUGCCAGCAGCCGCGGUAAUACGGAGGGUGCAAGCGUUACUCGGAAUCACUGGGUGUAAAGGACGCGUAGGCGGGUUGGAAAGUCAGGUGUGAAAUCCUACAGCUUAACUGUAGAACUGCACUUGAAACUUCUAAUCUAGAGUAUGGGGGGGAGAUGGAAUUAGUGGUGUAGGGGUAAAAUCCGUAGAUAUCACUAGGAAUACCUAAAGCGAAGGCGAUCUCCUGGAACAUUACUGACGCUAAGGCGUGAAAGCGUGGGGAGCAAACAGGAUUAGAUACCCCAGUAGUC